UGGGGAAUAUUGGACAAUGGGCGCAAGCCUGAUCCAGCCAUGCCGCGUGAGUGAUGAAGGCCCUAGGGUUGUAAAGCUCUUUCACCGGUGAAGAUAAUGACGGUAACCGGAGAAGAAGCCCCGGCUAACUUCGUGCCAGCAGCCGCGGUAAUACGAAGGGGGCUAGCGUUGUUCGGAUUUACUGGGCGUAAAGCGCACGUAGGCGGACUUUUAAGUCAGGGGUGAAAUCCCGGGGCUCAACCCCGGAACUGCCUUUGAUACUGGAAGUCUUGAGUAUGGUAGAGGUGAGUGGAAUUCCGAGUGUAGAGGUGAAAUUCGUAGAUAUUCGGAGGAACACCAGUGGCGAAGGCGGCUCACUGGACCAUUACUGACGCUGGGGUGCGAAAGGGUGGGGAACAAACAGG
rnacentral:rRNA from 1 species